AUGACCUCCACCAUGGCCUGGUCCCCUCUCAUCCUCAGCCUCCUUGCUCACUGCACAGGGUCCUGGGCUCAGUCUGUGCUGACUCAGCCGCCCUCCGUGUCUGGGGCCCUGGGCCAGACGGUCACCAUCUCCUGCACUGGAAGCAGCUCCAACAUUGGGGGUGGUAAUGCUGUUAACUGGCACCAACAGCUCCCAGGAAAGUCCCCUAAAACCAUGAUCUAUGGUAGUACUGCUAGACCCUCGGGGGUCCCCGAACGAUUCUCUGGCUCCACGUCUGGCAACUCUGGCACCCUGACCAUCACUGGGCUCCAGGCUGAGGACGAGGCUGAGUAUUAUUGUGCAUCGUGGGAUGAUAGUCUCAGUGCUCACUCAGUGCCCCCGGCCUGA